rnacentral:rRNA from 1 species
UAACGAAUCUUCCGCAAUGGGCGCAAGCCUGACGGAGCAAUGCCGCGUGUGGGAUGAAGCGUCUCUGACGUGUAAACCACUGUCAGGGGUUAGAAACAAUGAUCAACCCCAAAGGAAGUGGCGACUAACUCUGUGCCAGCAGUCGCGGUAAUACAGAGGCCACAAGCGUUAGUCGGAAUCACUGGGCUUAAAGGGUGCGUAGGCUGGUCCGCAAGCGUCUUGUGAAAGCCCUCGGCUCAACCGAGGAACAGCAGGGCGAACUGCGGAUCUUGAGGCAGGUAGGGGUCGCGAGAACAGUAGGUGGAGCGGUGAAAUGCGUAGAUAUCUACUGGAAUGCCGAUGGCGAAGGCAGCCCCCUGGGCUAACACUGACGCUCAUGCACGAAAGCGUGGGGAGCAAACAGGAUUAGAUACCCAAGUAGUCCCUGAGCGGGCUGGCAAGGCGCAU